CUACGGGGGGCAGCAGUUAGGAAUAAUCUACAAUGCGCGAAAGCGUGAUAGUUUGAGCCAGAGUGCUUCUCAUUGAGAAGCUUUUGUGAAAUCUAAAAAGUUUUACGAAUAAGGACUGGGUAAGACGAGUGCCAGCCGCCGCGGUAAUACUCGCGGUCCAAGUCGCAGCCAUUUUUAUUGGGUCUAAAACAUCCGUAGCUUGCUCAGUAAGUUUCCUGUGAAAUUCUACAUCUUAAAUGUAGGGCGUGCGGGGAGUACUGUUGGGCUAGAGACUGGGAGACGUAAGAAGUACGUUCGAAGUAAUGGUAAAAUAUGUUAAUCUCGGACGGACUCACAAUAGCGAAGGCGUCUUACGAGAACAGUUCUGACAGUCAGGGAUGAAGGCUAGGGGCGCAAAACGGAUUAGAUACCCCCGUAGUC
rnacentral:rRNA from 1 species